UGGUCCCAAGUGUUACGGCAGCACGGCGGUCUCCAAAACCGCAGGCCUUGGUUCGACUCCAAGGGGAUCAG
rnacentral:tRNA from 1 species